rnacentral:rRNA from 1 species
AGAGUUUGAUCCUGGCUCAGGAUGAACGCUAGCGGCAGGCCUAAUACAUGCAAGUCGGACGGUAGCCGACCCUUCGGGGCCGGCGAGAGUGGCGGACGGGUGCGUAACGCGUAUGCAACCAACCCCCCACAGCGGGACAGCCGGUGGAAACGCCGGGCAAUCCCGCAUGCCGCCGUGUCGGGGCAUCCCGGCAUGGCGAAAGGCUACGGCCGGUGGGGGACGGGCAUGCGUGCCAUUAGCUGGUUGGCGGGGCGACGGCCCACCAAGGCGACGAUGGCUAGGGGAUCUGAGAGGACGGUCCCCCACACUGGUACUGAGACACGGACCAGACUCCUGCGGGAGGCAGCAGUAAGGGAUAUUGGGCAAUGGGGGGAACCCUGACCCAGCCAUGCCGCGUGAGGGAAUGGGGCCCUACGGGUCGUGAACCUCUUUUGCCGGGGGACAACGGCGGCGUCGAGAACGCCGCGUGCGGGUACCCGGCGAAUAAGCGUCGGCUAACUCCGUGCCAGCAGCCGCGGUAAUACGGAGGACGCGAGCGUUAUCCGGAUUCACUGGGUUUAAAGGGUGCGCAGGCGGCCUGCCAAGUCAGCGGUGAAAGCCCGGGGCCCAACCCCGGAAGUGCCGUUGAUACUGUCGGGCUGGAAUGCGGUCGAGGCGGGCGGAACGUGGCGUGUAGCGGUGAAAUGCGUAGAUAUGCCACAGAACGCCGAUAGCGGAGGCAGCUCGCCAGGCCUGCAUUGACGCUCGGGCACGAAAGCGUGGGGAUCGAACAGGAUUAGAUACCCUGGUAGUCCACGCCG